GGUGGCUCAGUGGUAGAGCAUUUGCCUUGCAUGCAUCAGGCCCUGGGUUCAAUUCCUCAGCACCA
rnacentral:tRNA from 1 species